rnacentral:lncRNA from 1 species
CAUGCCUGAGUCAGAUUCCCUUAUUAUUCACACUUUUCUAUGAGAAAAUUGAGGCUUAAAAAGUUAACUAACAUUCCUGAAGUGACACGGUAAACAACUAAGGGAGUCAGGAUCUAUGCCCAGGAAGAUCUGCACCACAGUCAGAAGUUCCUGGUCCCUAAGCUCUGAUCCUGUAAAUCAUGUUUUUGUUUAUUCCCCAACACUAACCUCACUCCUUUACUAUUCAGUGCAGGGUGACUUUCCUGACUAGGAAAUU